rnacentral:tRNA from 1 species
GUUUUCAUAGAUUAAUUAUAAAAUCAUAAAGCUGUUAACUUUAAGAUGCUUAAAAAAGCUGUAAACG